CCUACGGGUGGCUGCAGUAGGGAAUAUUGGACAAUGGGCGAAAGCCUGAUCCAGCCAUGCCGCGUGAUAGAUGAAGGCCCUCUGGGUUGUAAAUAUCUUUUAUCUGGGAAGAAACACCUCUAUUCUUAGAGGCUUGACGGUACCAGAGGAAUAAGCACCGGCUAACUCCGUGCCAGCAGCCGCGGUAAUACGGAGGGUGCAAGCGUUAUCCGGAUUCACUGGGUUUAAAGGGUGCGUAGGCGGACUGAUAAGUCAGUGGUGAAAGCUCCGAGCUU
rnacentral:rRNA from 1 species